rnacentral:rRNA from 1 species
UGGGCGGAAGCCUGAUCCAGCCAUGCCGCGUGAGUGAUGAAGGCCUUAGGGUUGUAAAGCUCUUUCGCACGCGACGAUGAUGACGGUAGCGUGAGAAGAAGCCCCGGCUAACUUCGUGCCAGCAGCCGCGGUAAUACGAAGGGGGCUAGCGUUGUUCGGAAUUACUGGGCGUAAAGGGCGCGUAGGCGGCCCGAUCAGUCAGAAGUGAAAGCCCCGGGCUCAACCUGGGAACCGCUUUUGAUACUGUCGGGCUUGAGUUCCGGAGAGGAUGGUGGAAUUCCCAGUGUAGAGGUGAAAUUCGUAGAUAUUGGGAAGAACACCGGUGGCGAAGGCGGCCAUCUGGCCCGGACACUGACGCUGAGGCGCGAAAGCGUGGGGAGCAAACAGGAUUAGAUACCCUGGUAGUCCACGCCGUAAACGAUGUGUGCUAGACGUCGGGGGACUUGGUCUUCGGUGUCGCAGCUAACGCAUUAAGCUCUCCGCCUGGGGAGUACGGCCGCAAGGUUAAAACUCAAAUGAAUUGACGGGGG